CCUACGGGGGGCAGCAGUGAGGAAUAUUGGUCAAUGGGCGAGAGCCUGAACCAGCCAAGUCGCGUGAAGGAUGACGGCUCUAUGGGUUGUAAACUUCUUUUAUAAAGGAAUAAAGUGAGGCACGUGUUCCUUUUUGUAUGUACCUUAUGAAUAAGCAUCGGCUAACUCCGUGCCAGCAGCCGCGGUAAUACGGAGGAUCCGAGCGUUAUCCGGAUUUAUUGGGUUUAAAGGGUGCGUAGGUGGUUUGUUAAGUCAGAUGUGAAAGUUUGCGGCUCAACCAUAAAAUUGCAGUUGAUACUGGUUGUCUUGAGUAUAGUUGAGGUAGGCGGAAUGCGUGGUGUAGCGGUGAAAUGCAUAGAUAUCACGCAGAACUCCGAUUGCGAAGGCAGCUUACUAAACUAUAACUGACAUUGAAGCACGAAAGCGUGGGGAUCAAACAGGAUUAGAUACCCGAGUAGUC
rnacentral:rRNA from 1 species